GAGCUCCAAAGGUUUCACCGAUCCAGAAAUUGUUUUAUUUGAACGUGCAAAAAAACAGCCUCUAGGGGGCAGCUGGGUAGCUCAGUGGAUUGACAGCCGGGCCUAGAGACAGGAAGUCCUGGGUUCAAAUUUGACCUCAGACACUUCCCAGCUGUGUGACCCUGGGCAAGUCUCUUAACCUCUAUUGCCACGCCCUUACCACUCUUCUGCCUUGGAAGAUGGAAGGUAAGGGUUAAAAAAAAAACAAUAACAAAAAACCAACCUCAAUUCUCUACCCCACCAUCUCCCCAACUCCAGCUCAAUGGGUUGCAGGAAAGGAUUUCAGACGAAGGUCCCUGAAUGGACAGAUCCCCAGAGACUCAGGCACCAGCGAUGGAAUAUCUCCCAAAGGAGGUGCCCCCUAAGAUCCCCGGCAGCCGAACCCUAGCAAAGAGAAACGAGAAUGGAUGAAAGAUGGUGGGAAGGACAUCUGGCAUUAGAUAUCCACUGUACACUCAGAGAAAAGGAGCUGAAGCUGCCCGUUUACAAAGCCCAAUCCCCACUCCUUGAGAGCCGAAGGUAUUUUGUCGACUUAGUUUCUGUGCUCAGCAACCACUGCAAGAUCUGCCCCACGGCCAGACACCUGGCUGUCUACCUGCUGGACCUCUUCAUGGAUCGAUACAGUGUGACUGCAAAACAGCUGCAUAUCGUAGCCAUCGCCUGUCUUUUGCUAGCAAGCAAAUUUGAAGAGAAGGAGGACCGAGUGCCAAAACUGGAACAGAUGAACAGCUUGGGCCUCCUAUGCAGCCACCAACUGGUACUAAGUAAGAAGGAACUUCUGCAAACGGAGCUGCUCCUCCUGGAGGCUUUCGGCUGGAACCUAUGCAUGCCGACCCCAGCCCACUAUGUGGAUUACUACCUCUUAUUCUCACUCAGUGAGAAGGACCUCUGCAACAACCGGCCUAUCUUCUCUUUCUCAAAAACCAAAGGUUUCCUAGAGAAAUAUGUCCACUACUUUCUGGAAGUUUCAUUGCAAGAUCAUAUUUUUCACAACUUCCCACCAUCCAUGGUAGCUGCAGCUUGCAUUUGGGCCUCUAGGAUUUGCCUGCAGCUCUCCCCCACUUGGACCAGAGACUUGGAGAAAAUAUCACACUAUUCCAUGGAGCAGAUCAGUGCUUGCGUUAAAGUCAUGCUGUUGGCUUUUGACAAUGACUUCAAGGAUGCUAACAAAGUGAAGAACCCGCCACUGGCCUUGCAAUCCCACAUGUUGGUUCCAGGCACACAUCAGGCUCCUACCCAGGUGCUGUUCCAACAGCCGGCCUUCCACCAUCCAGUCCCCCAGCCAGCAGCCACGCUAUCCCACAUCCAGACCCCUGUGCAAGACUUGUGCUCGGCCUAUCGUGACACCCUGCAGCCCCACCAGUCUGGGGGCUUGCUGUCAGGAAGCACCGGUCCCUCUCUGUACCACCCUUAUUCUGCUCUCCAGCCUUCAGCAGUCCAGGCUAUUACCAUCCCAGGACCCCUCCCCAGGCAGAUAGGAGUAGAACCAAGACACUGCAUCUCUAUGGCUUACGGGAGUAGCUACUUCAGUGGACAUCACUCGUUCCCAGCUGGAUGUUUGACAGAUAAAGUAAAGCCAUCCUAA
rnacentral:lncRNA from 1 species